rnacentral:lncRNA from 1 species
CGGCCCCAGCCUCGCCAGCCCAGAGAGGGGCCCCACAGCUCAGUGGCGGGCUGAAGGCCUCCUCGAGCAUGGCCAGAGUGGACACCGAGGCCGAGGAGACGCGGAGAGCCAGCGAGGGCUGCUAUUGUCACCUCUCAUUUCCAUCAGGCAACUGAUAAGUUGGUUUCACAAUGGACUGUACCACCAUCCAGGAACAUGGUCACAUUUAAUUUCUCAAAGCUGAAGGAAAUAUGAUGAUCAGGAUAUGAAGAAGGAAACAAUAAAAAAAUCAUGUCUAGCAAGGACAGAGGUCACCUCCAAUGGAGACACUUCAGGAAUUGCUCGGGAAAGAACAUCAAGUGGUCAAACAGGAGGAGAUAUGUGGUUCAAGCUACAGAAACAGCAACAGGCUGAGCAGCCAACAUAAGGAGGUUAAGGGCGGGAAAAACAUGAGAAACUCUUUUGAGAAGCUGCAAAAGCUGACGUGGAGGAUCAAGGAUUUCAAAAGCUUUGAAUAUAAAGAGGUGAGAAUUUUUAUUUUAUUUUUUUACUAUUAUUCUGGUCUGUUGGUUGAGCUCUGAG